GGGCUCAUAGGUAAAUGGCAUACCGGUACAUUCGCAUUGUACAAUCCCGAGUUCGAUUCUCGGUAAGUCCACCA
rnacentral:tRNA from 1 species